GGCACUUUUAACCGAGUUCACCACAUGCACGCCUCACGGAGAGGAUAGGAAUGCUAAUCAACUGGUUUCCUCCGCGACUUGCAAACAGAGCGCAGCAAACAGCAACAGCUCGCAACUUGGAGAUCCUCCGAUUCAAAUGUGUUCUGGUUGGUUUUAGAUGUAUUAUUUAGUCUUUAUCCAUCACUAUGUUCAUUGUUGGAUUCAUCAGUAUUGUUGACUGUGAAUUUACUACAUGGAGAUACCAUUUUGUUUAAUAGACAGAGACAGCGGAUUCAUAACGACUUUGUAACAGAGCGGACUUCUGGUGGAUUUCUGGAUUUCUACUCUCAGGAAUUGGGAAGCCCGAGCUGCUUGCUUGUGUGUGUGUGUGGGUGUGUGGGUGUUUAGGUGACUGUGUGAAUAAUUGUGUGAGGAUUCCGCACGUCCAUCCUCAACAGUUAAUGCUGUCAGAGAGCAGAGAAGUGUGUUAUUGAGACACUUAGCGUGGAAACACACACACAGAACCCCCCCCCCAAACACACACACAGUGCUGUCACACACUGUCUGCCGAUGAGCUCUGUCAUGCAGUCGUUUCUCUCUCCAGUGAACAAGGCUAUUCUAGUAGCUCUGUUCAUCUUCGCCAUCCUCCUUAUCCUCUAUGUGAUCCUCUGGUACAUCUGUAGAGACGUGGACUGCGACCACGGUAUCUGAUCUGAUUAACACCGGGAACACCACCGAAUAACCUAACGGUGGAUAGAGACCCGUCUGAAAGAGGGUCACCCUGAGCUGCCCAGACAACAUGGCAGAGUUGGUAUAGUGACGGGAGGCAUCAGUGGAAUCUGCUUUGAGACCGCAAGACACAUGGCCAGCCUGGGGGCACACUUUAUCAUAGCUGGACAGCAGGAGCGGGAGGGUGUGUCUGCUGUGAAGAGGAUUCGUGAGGAGAACAGAGAGGCCAAAGGUCACAGUCCCCACAACCCUGUUUGGUUUUGUGUCUCCUUGGCUCUGGAUAUUACUGAUUGGCUGGAGAGUGAACACACCUUUUCAAAGUGGUGUUUGAGCAGUUGGAUUUGGCGUCUUUGCUGUCAGUAAGGCAAUUCAUCAAGACAUUCAAGAGGUGGGGCCUACUGCUGCACAUGACACUCAUAUGCACACGCGCACACGCGCACUCGCACGCACACACACAUAAACACACUCCACCUCUCCUUAUUUCUUCACACUCCCACUUUUCUCAACAUCUUUCUCUCUUUAGACAUUAUUAUUCGUCCCAUGCUGGCGCUGCUCUUAUUUUUGUCCCACCUGCAACAGAGGCUGUAUAGAAGAGGGUUCCCAGUGAGCUCAUGUGCAGUGGACCCUGGGAUGGUCGACACGUCGCUCUACCGCCACCUCUUCCCCCCCGGUCGUCUUGCACAGACAGCCAUCACACGCCUACUCUUUAGGGUACACACGGUACUAAUCCAGUAUCUAAAAAAAAGAGAGGACAUAAGUGAUAAUUCCCCAAACUAACUUGAGCAUCACUGACACUACUGUCAAAGUUUUCAGAAGAAAUCUGAAUGAUUUAUUCAAGAUGCUAAUUACAGAAUAAGUAUCUUAAAAUGUGUCCUGUGGCAUUUCACUAAGUCAGUAUAUAGGCAAAGUUAGGCGGAGAGAGAACUUGUCAAGCUUAAGAGGGAAAAUUCUGAAUGCAUAAAUCAUUAUCCCAUGACUCUCAAACACACACACACACACACACACACACACACACACACGUAUUUCAUCUGAAAAUGUAGUUCUAAAACAUUUGAUGGUUUGCUUACUUACUUGUUUAUUUUAGUGGGGUUAUUUUAGAAUGUGUUGCAUUUUUUACAUCAUUACUUGGCUUGGAGACACUGUUCAUGUCUGGAGGAUGGGAUGGUGUGUGUGUAACAUUCUGACAGUGUUUGUCGUGUCCCCAGAGCCCGUCCCAGGCAGCGUCUAUGGUCCUCUACACUUCUCUGUCUCCGUCUCUGGAAGGGGAGAGAGGGGGCUACUGGAGCAACGGACGCACAGAGAUGUCAACACCAAACACCUACCACCCCAGGCUCCAGCUCAGCCUCUGGGACUUCAGCUGCAGACUAGUGAGCUUGCAGGAGCAGCACCAACCAUGACCCCUGACCUCUAACCCCUGAGCUCUUAGUCCAUGACCCUGACACCAACACUGUAUGGCUGAGACCCAACACCUCAUCUGUCAUCCUGCCAUUAUCUUUGUUUUCACAAUCUCCUCACCGCCAGACUGUGAUUGGAUAAAGACUGAUGACCAAGGCUGGACUGUGAUUGGUUAGUGAAGCGGUAAGACCUGUUGCAUACUCUUCAGAUGAAUGGGCUGAUGAAAAUGAACCAACCUUCUCCCUCAGGCACUGUGAACCCACACACACUGUGUUAUGAGUGUUUAUAGUGCUGCUAUGAGUGUUCAUAGUGACCUCUUGAAAAUGUAUAGCAACCUUAUGCCGGUUGGUACACAGAUCAGAACAGAAAGAACCUUCCCUCCAUGGGAAAACUUGAUUUAACCAUAAACAAGUGUCAUCAGUGUGUGUAUGUGUCCGUAUCAGUUAUCAGUGUGUGUGAGUGAUUUUGUCAGUAGCAUCCUGUGUCUAUGAAACAUAUCCUGAUCCCUGCCUGACUGGAUGGUCCAGGACCAAGGAACAAGCCGGCAUGGCAAUAACAUCAGUAAAUCACAGCCUGAAACUGAUAUUUUCAGUUCUUGUGAAAGCAAGCAAAAGGUAUUUUGUGGAAUUUUCCCCAACGCUGUGGGUUACUUCCCCAUGGAGCCAACACCAUCUGAGAGAAUGAAUGCUUUUAGAUUGUGUCCUAUCUGCUGGGCUGUGAGUCACACACUGUGUCAUGGUGUUUGUCCGCCUUUGUUACUGUUAGAGGUGAGUGAUGUUUUAUCAAUACAUACAUACACCUCUCUCAAUACAUCAUGUUGCUGUGUGUGUUUCUGGGCACAGUAUGUAUGUGUGUGUGUGUCUUUCAGUGUGCACUGUUUGUGUGUUUCUUACAGUCAUUGGUUUGUAUGCAUCAGUGGCGGUUCUAGCUUGUAUGGCUCACUGGGCGAACCCCCCCUUCAGCACGCCCCCCCCCCUCUAAAAUACACAAUUCUGCACUAACUGUACUUUUAUUCAGACAUUUGGAACAACGCAAAUAAAUAAUCAUCAUUUAAAACUAUAUAAAUAUAAAAAUAUAUACAACAAUAAGAUGCAUAAAUAUCAAAAAGAAGUAACAAAGACAAAUAGAAACAAAUUUGUGUUGAUUUGGCACUUGAACAUCGUCCCAUUACCCAUCCCCCAACACUGUUAACCAAGAGUCAAGAUUAAACCAAUUCACCUUGGUGGUGUCCAGAAAAAAAUGCAACAAUAUGUCUGUGAAACUGUGGUUAUUUAUGGUGGUUUAUUUGGUAUACUUUCGUAGUGUGACCGAUUUUACUAAUUGCAUUAGUACUGUACAGAGUUAGAGGUGCGCUAUUUGAUAGAUUCCCUCACUCCCCCUACCUCUGGCUUCCAGUGGGGAGACCUGAGGUCAUCUCGUACUUCUCGUCAUCUCGUCCGCCCCCUUCCCAUCUCGUACUUCUGAGUGGGAGACCUUCCCAGGCAGUAACCUGUCUAGCUCACAAACUAGAAUCAGGGCACCCACUCCGACAAGUUUAAUUGACCCACAGUCCCACACGGUGACAUGAUAUCAUUGACGUGACGUGCAACUGAGCGAUAGAAAACCGAUCGCGCAAAUGUCACCAUUACGUUUUUGUGUGGGCGUCCCGUGCUGCCCAUGUCACCUGUACCUAAAUCCACCACUGGUAUGCAUCAAUAAAACGGCUGUACAACUGAAACCAAUACGGAUGAAUGUGGCGGUGAGAGCGGGAAAGAGAGACAGAGAGUGAGAGAGAUUCUUCCUCUGUGGUGUUUCAUCUUCUCUCGCUGCUGCUACCUCAUUUUCCCUUGCUCCCAGUGCAUGUGGGAGGUAGAUUUCCCAGUGGAAAUUAUGCAAAGUGAAGACAAAGACAAACAGACGCACACACACACACAUAACCACCUGUGCAACCAAGCACAGACUUAUCGAAACAAUCAAGUCACACUCUCAUGGCCAGGGGCAGACUGGGACCAGAAAUUGGCCCUGGAGUUUCAAACACAAUGGCCCAUUUUAUUAAUUGAGGCCCCCAUUAUUAGCCAGAUAAUGCUAAUUUUGCCCAAAAAACCCAAGUUAGCCCAAUGUGCUAAAAACGGACCAGCCAGUCUUCCCCUGCUCAUGGCCAAACCAUACCCACUGUGAUUUAUCUACCAACAGUGCUCUGAUUUACAGGCUUAUAUCAAACUAGCUUCCUUUAUAUGACACACACAUUCCCACAGAGACUAGUAUAUCAGGACAGGGGAUAACUACAGACUCUGUGUGUAACCUUCCUUUACUUUACCCUUCCAGUCUCCUAGGGGCUGAUUCCAACAUAGGAAGUGUACGCCUUUCUUACGCACGCCUUUCAGACUUACCUUAUGAAGGUGUGUAACAGGCUUUGCAGGCAUGGUUCCCUUGUACACGCUGAAUUAAUAUAUUUAAACUGCUGAAAAACCUCUCAAUUGCUGGCCAACAGAAUUUCUCGUGGUGUUUUCAUAGGGUUUUCAGUACAUUUAUCUAAAGACAUUCUUUUAAAUGUGUUCACUAGAAUAUAUGGAGAGAAUGGGUCAGUAUAUUAGGGAUCAAUAGAAGAAAGCUAUGUAGGCCUAAAUUCAUUUGUCUCUUUUUCAUCACCAAUUGGUAAAUUAAAAAAUACUCUUGUAUUAUUUAGGGUUAGGAAAGUAUUUAUGAAUAAUAAAAUAACAUUUGGAGAGCCUUUACGCACUAAAUAUAUUUGUUGAUUCAUCCUGAAAGUUGCCAUAUAUUUAAUUGUUCAAUUCAUUAAAUAUUGUUCAGGAACAACCGCAACAAACGUGAUGAUGCAAAAUGUAAGGAAACGAACACAAGUGAAAGUUAUACAUGUAUGUGGGUAUAACUGACGGUGGAACCAAUCGUAAAACAUGAAACCAAUCGUAAAAAAAUACAGUGAAAAGUCUGACCAUAUAAUUAAAACUCUAGACAUCAUAAAUCAACUUGGUAGGUUUGGCGCUAUACGUUCAUUUGCACAUGGCUAUAAAGGCCUAUAGUUUGGGUCUCCAAAUGUCAUCCUUGUAAGUUAUAAGGACAGCAUUUCAUAAACUGCACUGUGGAAAAGGUGAUAUGUUGAUAUGCUUCAGUUUGCUGCCAUACUGUAGUACUGGUUUCACAUUUGUCUUCAGCAAUCAUAAGGUAAAAUAGAUCUAAAACAAUUAUCAUUUAUAUUUACUCAUUUACCUAACUUUUUUUUUAAAUACAGUGCAUGGAGAAUGGCGUUAUGUAGAUUGGAAAAAAUAAAGUAGUUUCUUGACCUUAAUCGUUGUUUCAUCACUCGUAAAGGUGGUGGAAUUAUGAGGGAAUUAAGUCAAGAAUACAGCGUUUCUGUAGACACACCUCCACCCCACUUGAAUUUCUUUGAUCUCCACCCCACUUGAAUUUCUUUGAUCUCCACCCCACUUUAAUUUCUUUGAUCUCCACCCCAAAGGAAUAGUGGGUGAAUAGCAUGAUAUUUCAUUCUUAAAUUCAAGGUCAGAAUAAUCGUGAAGAGAAAAGUGCAUAACAAGAGAAUAAGGUUCCAUUUACGCGCAUUUAGCUCGGUCGGAAUCCCCCUACUGAACACAAGGUUCAUGUCUUCCAGAGAGGUGUGUGAGUGUGUAGCUGUCAGACUGCAUGCUCUUUGGGUUGAUUAUUCUGGGUAGGGUCAGGUUAGUUUGGACUAAACCAAGGUUAUCUGCUGUAUACCUCAUUGGGCCAACAGAGUACUUUGCAAUAGGGUGCCAUUUUGUACACAGCCCAUAUAAUACACCCUUAGGGUUUGUAUUAAAUGGUUCUGUCCCAGUCGGAUGGGAAAACACACAGGGCUCCACUCAAUCAAACACAGUAGUCCUACAGUCCAUUGUCAAAUUAAUCACAGAAUGUUUCUGGUUUCUGAAAACAUAACUUUAUUCCCAGCUGUGAGAAUCCCAUCACAGGCACAUGUAGAUAAUUCCAGAUUUUAAAAUAAGAAGUGUGUGUUUGCAGAAGUUUGUAUGAACAUCACCAUGAUGUGUUUGAUUGAAUUCCAGACUGUUGACAUACAUAGGGGGCUACAGGAGAAUAGACAAGAUAUUGAUCAUGUUGAUUUAAAAUGUGCAAAAUAUAUUUUGGUUGAAAAUGUAUCUCUUGCUUUGCUGUGCCUGAACUCCCUCAAAUGUAGAAUUCGACUGAAUUUCCAUGUAAUUUAGCUGUAGUAAAACUGAACUGUAGUGUCUUGUUAUUGUCAUAUUUCUGUAAAAACCUUUGAUAAACAGUGGUCUGCUGUUUGAGAAGUAUGAAGACCUUAUACCUGCAGGAGAAAGACUUCUGUUCACUAUGAAGACUGUGUCAUAUGGAGAUUAUGGUUAGUGUGAAUAUGGAGGUCAGUGUUUGUCAAUAUGAAGAGUAUUUUUAUGUGGUUGUGAUGUUCUCCUCCUUUUCUACCACCCAAAACCUCCAUAAACAUUUCAUUGUGCC
ensembl:lncRNA